GGAAAAGGAUGAUGGUGAGGCUGAAAGCAGGAAAAGAUUUGACCCAUCUCCCAGGUUGGGCCCAGGCCAGAGGUCUCUACCAGCAAAGAGGAUAAAAGAGACUACACCUGGACAAACCCUCCCAGGCCCAGGCCUGAGCCUCACAUGUGGCCCCGGGGAAGGCAUCAGGGACUCCCUUUGCCCUCCCACUGACCUCCCUGCAAACCUCCCCCAAACCAAGGGGCAUCCUCAGCUGGCCAGACCCUGGGGGAAGGGAGAGAGCCGAGGAUCACCGGCACCUGUGGCUGGGUUACCCCUGCCAUGGACCACUGGGUGAUCAAGAAGUCAUUCCAAAAUGUGAAGCGUUCUGAAGAUAUGCACAUAGCGUAAGAACCUGGUGUAAUGUGCUGGUCAAGGCGGUCUCAGAGAGGAGAUGACGUUUGAGCUGACACCUGAGGGAUGAGAAGAAAGCAGCCAUUCCCAGGGCCCAGGGGAGGCAUCCCAGGAAGCCGGAUCAGCAUGAGCAAAAGCCCUGAGGCCUGGCACAAGUUGGUCUGCUUGAGAAGCAGGAGAGAGCCCUGAGCAUCCGGAGUGCAGCAAGCGAGAUGAGCAAGUCAAGAUGCAGAAGGACUCUCUGGCUUGUCCAAGGUCACACGGCUGUUAGGAGCAGAGCAGCGUCCUGGUGCCCAAGCCCUGAGGUCCCCAGCACACUGCCUCUGCAAUGGCCACAACUGUCCAAAGACUAAGCUGACUCUCACACCUGGUAGUGUCUGUGGUCAUUCACUGUGGAUGGAAGUGGAGAAAUGCAGAAAACAGAAACACAGCUUCCCCUUUUCUGUCAUAUUUCUGUAUCGUUGGUGUUUGGAGCCAGUUGAGCACAAAGGGCCCCUGAGUGCUGUUUCCUUGUGAUAUUUGGGGGUUAACAGCUUCCCCUCAUCUCUUAAUUACCUGCCCUCCUUCACUUCAGCUGCACAUUCGUUAAAGAAUGCUCUCCCAGGAGAAGAGCUUGGUGUUAUCACCCACAAACAUCUUAGAAAACUAAUGCUAUCCUUGAGUGCCUGUUUACAGAAACAUUUUUACAUCUCACUUGACAUUUCCAGCAAAUCUUGAUCCUUCCAGCCAGGAAUAUUAAUAUAUAGGUCUUGAAAAGUGCAAGAGGCUCUUCCAUGGCUCCAAGCACAUUUGACACUCUUCCUUUUCUGAUCCCCAAGCAGACAGUGAUGAAACCCCAAUAGCUGGGCGAAUACUCAUCCAACAGGAAGAAUCAGUUUUAAGAGCUGGGUUCUCAGGGUCAAAUACUGUGGUGUGGCCUUUUGGUUGUAAUGAGUUGAAUGGAGGUCUCAAAAAAGAUAUAUCCAUGUUCUAAUCCCCAGAACUUGUGAAUGUGACCUUAUUUGGAAAAAGAGUCCUUUUGGAUGUAAUUAAGUUAAGGAUUUUGAGAUAAGGAGAUCAUCCUGGGUUAUCUGGGUGGACCCUAAAUCUGUUGACAAUGUCCUUAUGAGAGACCCCAGAGGGCACAGACAGGAAAGGAAGAGGCAAUGUGGCCCCAGAGGCUGAGAUCAGAGCUCUGUGGCCACAAUUCGAGGAACACCUGGAGCCACCAGAAGCUGGAGGAGGCAAGGAACAGAUUCUCCCUGAUCCUCUGGAUACAGAGGGAGAAUAGCCUGGCCGACACCUUGAUUUUGGACUUCUGGCCCCCAGAACUGAGAAAAUUAACUUCUGUUGUGUUAAGCAGCCACGUUUGUAGCAGUUCAUCAUAGCAGCCCUGGGAAAGAAAUACAGUGGGCUUCCAGUUCAAGGAGGAUCCACGAGGCCUGAGCUCCAUCUGUCGAUUGGAAUCACCAAAAUCAAGGUUGUGUGCGGGUAACGCCAGCACAAGCAGCUCAUGCUGGCAAAAGCAGACCAAACCGGCUCACGCAACGUCAAGUCAUCUUGAAGUGGUUCACGCACCACAGUGAGUGGUAUUGAUUGUGGUUAAGAGCCAGGUUCAAGGAGGUUUAUCACUCAGUAGCCAGGUAAAGCAGGUUCCAGGCCUGGCUCCACCACUCAACAACCGGGGAAACAGGGGAGCAGACCUGCAGAGGGGCCAGAAGACACCUGGCCGGGUGGGGAGCAGCCCCUCCGUAAUAACAAUCGGAACCUGGGAAGAUAAGUAGAGUCCCAGGGGAGGGACAGAGUUUCCCCUGUGUCACCACAUGGCUACUUUGACACAAAUGCACGUGGGCAGAGAGAGGCAUGCAGGUCAAGGGCCUGGCAGGGAGUCAGGGGCCCUCAGUGCCAGUCCUGGCUCUGCCUCUGCCUCUGACACGCCAUGUGACCUUGAGCAAGUCACCACCCUGUCUGGGCUUCGCUAACCCAUAUACGGAAUGAGAAGGUAUCGUCCCUGGUCACUGCAGGUUUUAAAUCAUGUAGUGAGAGAGAGCUCAUUUGGUCCAACUCUCUGCAACUGAAGGAAUGGAGACACCAAGGGGGAGUAAUCGGCCGCAGUGAUGAGUGGGUGGCAAAGGGAGCUAUCACUACCAUUGAUUAUCCAGCUACUUGUGCUUGAUAAACUCCCUCCUGGUGGAAUGGGCUUUCCCACAUCCAGCAGCACAAAUGCUGUGAGCAUCUACUACGGGCUGGGCACCUUCUCUGGGCUGGCACUUGACAUGGGUUAUCUCAUUUAACUCCCUAACAACCCUAUGUGGUAUUAUCAUCCCCAUUUCACAGGCGGCAAAACUGAAUCCCAGAGAGAAGACUCACUCAGACACAGCUAUCUGAACACUCUUUUCCAGUUCCCCUAGGGCAGCAGAGGAAGCAAGGUGGGGGGAAGCCAGUGGUCAAGGAUUCCAUGCGGAAUGUACCCUAGAAUUAACCCAUGGAGAGAGGGGUCUCGCUCUGUUGCCCAGGCUGUAGUACAAUGGUGCAAUCUCGGCUCACUGCAACCUCUGCCUCUGGGUUCAAGCGAUCCUUUGCCUCCGCCUCCUGAGUAGCUGGAAUUACAGGCAUGCACCAUGAUGCUUGGUUAAUUUUUGUAUUUUUAGUAGAGUCAGGGUUUUGCUAUGUUGGCCAGGCUGGGCUCCAACUUCUGGUCUCAAGUGAUCCACCCGCCUCGGGCUCCCAAAGUGCCAGGAUUACAGGCGUGAGCCACUAUGCCUGGCCAAAAGUGGCGAUGUGUUCUUAAUGCCCAUUUUCACAUAAAAGGUAAUAAUCUACCCACA
rnacentral:lncRNA from 1 species